rnacentral:rRNA from 1 species
UACGUAGGUGGCAAGCGUUGUUCGGAAUUAUUGGGCGUAAAGGGCGCGUAGGCGGCCCGGUAAGUCAAAGGUGAAAUCCCUCGGCUCAACUGAGGAACUGCCUUUGAAACUGUCGGGCUUGAGGCCGGGAGGGGUAGCGGAAUUCCCAGUGUAGCGGUGAAAUGCGCAGAUAUUGGGAAGAACACCAGUGGCGAAGGCGGUUCUCUGGGACGGUACUGACGCUGAGACGCGAAAGCGUGGGAGCGAACGAGG